CCUACGGGUGGCAGCAGUGGGGAAUAUUGCACAAUGGGCGCAAGCCUGAUGCAGCCAUGCCGCGUGUGUGAAGAAGGCCUUCGGGUUGUAAAGCACUUUCAGCGGGGAGGAAGGCGGUGAGGUUAAUAACCUCAUCGAUUGACGUUACCCGCAGAAGAAGCACCGGCUAACUCCGUGCCAGCAGCCGCGGUAAUACGGAGGGUGCAAGCGUUAAUCGGAAUUACUGGGCGUAUAGCGCACGCAGGCGGUCUGUCAAGUCGGAUGUGAAAUCCCCGGGCUCAACCUGGGAACUGCAUUCGAAACUGGCAGGCUAGAGUCUUGUAGAGGGGGGUAGAAUUCCAGGUGUAGCGGUGAAAUGCGUAGAGAUCUGGAGGAAUACCGGUGGCGAAGGCGGCCCCCUGGACAAAGACUGACGCUCAGGUGCGAAAGCGUGGGGAGCAAACAGGAUUAGAUACCCUUGUAGUC
rnacentral:rRNA from 1 species